rnacentral:tRNA from 1 species
CAGGGAGACAACACAAUGAUUUUGAUGCCUGAGUGCUUUUAUUCUUAGGCCGAAAUCCUGUCACCUUAGGUCGAUCGGUACCUCAGCUUUGAAGUCAAGGAUCAGCAGCAAUGUUGAUUGCUUGAUGGAGAUUUUCAGUUCCUAAACUUUGUCUAGGUCACACCCCAAAAGGGAUGAGACUCCUGGGCCAUUAGCUCAGGUGGUUAGAGCGCACCCCUGAUAAGGGUGAGGUCCCUGGUUCAAGUCCAGGAUGGCCCAUUCGGUGUUGGGGGUUUAGCUCAGUUGGUAGAGCGCCUGCUCUGCAAGCAGGAUGUCAGGAGUUCGAGUCUCCUAACCUCCACUGACCGAACUUGAUUCCCAUCUCCAAUUUUUUUGGAGUUGAGCUCGAUUGGAGUGUGAUUUAGAUGUGUCCGCUGGAUGACCCCAGCUUCCUGUCAUUCCAAGUUUUAGGUUAAAGCCUUGAAUUUGGUUGAUAAGAUGCUGGGCUCGGAUCAAAUGAUCAAGCAAUUGAUGAUUUGAUUUGAAGUUCUAGCAGAACCUUGACAACUGCAUAGGUGAGUCUGGAAAAAACAAAGCAUCUUACAGAUGCAUUGUUUUGAAUCUGAUCUUCUGAAAGGGAGAUUAGAUCUAGAACAAUGAAAAUUCUUUUGAGCAAGAGCCGAGACUCUUGAGCGUUCUUUGAUUGGUGUCGAGCCAAUCAGAGUUUGAUCUUGUUUUUAGCAAUAAAAACUUGAGAAUCUGCUUUCAACGGCGGUAAGCGUUUAAGAGGUUAAUU